rnacentral:rRNA from 1 species
GAUGAACGCUGGCGGCGUGCCUAAUACAUGCAAGUCGAGCGAACGGACGAGGAUCUUUCUUCGCUUAUGUUAGCGGCGGACGGGUGAGUAACACGUGGAUAACCUACCUAUAAGACUUGGAUAACUUCGAGUAACCGGAGCUAAGACCGGAUAAUAUUUUCGACCGCAUGGUUUAAGAGUGAAAUACGGUCUUUCUGUCACUUAUAGAUGGAUCCGCGCUGCAUUAGCUAGUUGGUAAGCUAACGGCUUACCAAGGCAACGAUGCAUAGCCGACCUGAGAGAGUGAUAGGCCACACUGGAAGUGAGCCACGGACCAGAGUACUAAGAGACGCAGCAGACGGGAAUGUUACGCAAUGGGGGAAAGUAUGACGGAGUAGCGGCGAGCCAGAGAUGACGGUCUUCGGAUCGUAAUAACCUGUUACUAGGGAAGAACAUAUGUGUAAGUAAAUGAGCACAUAGUGACGGUACCUACUCAGAAAGCACCGGCUAACUACGUG